rnacentral:rRNA from 1 species
ACGAACGCUGGCGGCGUGCUUAACACAUGCAAGUCGAACGGUGAAGCGCCUUCCUUUUUGGUGGGUGUGGAUGAGUGGCGAACGGGUGAGUAACACGUGAGUAACCUGCCCCCUUCUUCUGGAUAACCGCAUGAAAGUGUGGCUAAUACGGGAUAUUCUGGGUCUGUCGCAUGAUGGGUCUGGGAAAGAUAUUGUUUCGGUGGGGGAUGGGCUCGCGGCCUAUCAGCUUGUUGGUGGGGUGAUGGCCUACCAAGGCGGUGACGGGUAGCCGGCCUGAGAGGGUGGACGGUCACACUGGGACUGAGACACGGCCCAGACUCCUACGGGAGGCAGCAGUGGGGAAUAUUGCACAAUGGGCGCAAGCCUGAUGCAGCGACGCCGCGUGAGGGAUGGAGGCCUUCGGGUUGUGAACCCCUUUCGCCAGUGAAGCAGGCCUGCCUCGUUUGUGGGUGGGUUGACGGUAGCUGGAUAAGAAGCGCCGGCUAACUACGUG